rnacentral:tmRNA from 1 species
GGGGCUGAUUCUGGAUUCGACGGGAUUUGCGAAACCCAAGGUGCAUGCCGAGGGGCGGUUGGCCUCGUAAAAAGCCGCAAAAAAUAGUCGCAAACGACGAAAACUACGCUUUAGCAGCUUAAUAACCUGCUUAGAGCCCUCUCUCCCUAGCCUCCGCUCUUAGGACGGGGAUCAAGAGAGGUCAAACCCAAAAGAGAUCGCGUGGAAGCCCGCCUGGGGUUGAAGCGUUAAAACUUAAUCAGGCUAGUUUGUUAGUGGCGUGUCCGUCCGCAGCUGGCAAGCGAAUGUAAAGACUGACUAAGCAUGUAGUACCGAGGAUGUAGGAAUUUCGGACGCGGGUUCAACUCCCGCCAGCUCCACCA